rnacentral:lncRNA from 1 species
AGUUCCUGAAAAGACUGUUUUGGAAAACCAACAAACAGUAACCCAAACUGAAACUCAAACCAUCCAAACCAAAGUGUUCCUAAACAAGUUGCUUCUGACCAAGAACAAAGUGUUCCUGAACAAUCUGUUCCUGAACACAAUGUUUCUGAACAACAACAAACUACCACUGAACAACCCCAGCCUAACACAGAACAACAACAACAACCAGAAUCACCAACCAUCAACUUAACCACUCCUGAAC